UUUUUACUGUUGUGUUUGCAGAAAGCCAUUGCAGAAUCUUUACAGCAUCAAUUUCUUCUGGUAUGGUCCUUUAGGUAUCACCAUGGUCAUUAUAAUUGGCAUUGUAUUCAGUAAAAUUAUUGGUGGAUUCCAAGACCCUUCAGCCGUGCCACGUACGCUCUUAAGCCCUAUCACCUUAAAGAUCAUGGACAGAUAUGAACCUGAAGCAGAUGAAAAGUUCUAUUUACAAAACAUGGACAGCAAUGAAACUCAAAAACUUAAUGUCAGUCACGCAUAAAUACUUAUCGAUCCUUUCAACUAUGGUCUCAUACGCCUUGGAGAAGAGGGCUGAUGUUUUAUGAUAUGGCUGGAACAUGGGUUAGGCAUUAUUUUAACAUCUAAAUAUCAUAAAUAAGGGUUUGGAAUCUGAUCUAAAGCCUUUUGAGAGAACAUUAAUGACCACAAGUCAAUAACAGAGCCUGUACGUUAGGCACUAGCUUACCUUUUACAAGAAGCAGGCCGUAUGUGACAUGACUUAUUGUCUGGUGGACUACAGCACUAAAAGUUUGAGGUAAUUUUUUUUUAUUUUGUUAAGGCUUGGUAUCCAAAAAGACCUGUGUGCAGCUGCAAGUUGCCCACAACUGUUCUACAUGAUUGCUCCAUCUUCUAGAAAUACCAACUAAAUCUCUCUCCAAUCAGAGCCUUCUGCCAAAAGAGACUAAAAAAUAUAUAUAUUACAAAAAUGUAAGUCUUUUUUUCCUAAAUGAAUUGCACUUCAUAUUCGAGGCUCUGUGAAGCUAUAGGAUAUUUUUCAGACACUCAACUAAGAGUCCACUGCAUCUUAUAGCAGAAACCACAUGGUUCUGGGUUCAGUCCCACUGCAUGGCACCUUGUGUAAGUGUCUUCUACUGUAGCCUCAGGCUGACCAAAGCCUUGUGAGUGAAUUUGGUAGAUGGAAACUGAAAGAAGCCCAUCGUGUAUGUGUGUGUAUCUAUAUAUGUAUAGGUCCAGUGUAAUCUGUGGGUAGGAGAGGUGCAGCCGGAGAGUGUAGAGUUAGCUCGAAACGUUAAGGACUUUCUCUAUUCCCAAGCGUUAAACUAAUACAUCCUUUUGUUGUUUACACCACCUGUCCUGGUCUGUUGUUGUUUUUUUCGUAAAUUUUCCCAUAUAUAUGUAUACAUCUAUGUGUGUGUCUUUGUUUCUCCAGACCAUCAUUUUUUUUUUUUAUCAACCAUUGCUCACUAAAAACAUGAAAUAAGUAUAUGAGAUUACUGUGAUACAAAUUGUAUUCAUUUCAGUUUUAUUAAUGUUGAAAACAAAAAAAUUAAGAAAUGACAAUUAACUAUGAACUAUUACAUCGAUAAUUUUUUUUUUUUUUUGCAUUUUAUAUUUGUUUCUUAAAAAAAAUAUUUUAUAUAAAACUAUGACCCAUCAAGGGUCAGUAUUGCUCCCUAAGCAGCUGCAUAGUUGGCUAAAUGGAAAUACUAACUCUGUGUACCUUCCCGUGAAAACUUACCUGGUGAACCUGACUGUCCUUCUUGAUUUCUAUAUCUUGGCCUCCAAAUGUCCAACAAUUGCAGCUCAAUUAUACCUCUUCAUCUCUCUGCUACCAUUCCUCUAUUUUCACCCAAACCUCUCUCUAUAAACACUAACCUUAAAUACAAGCUGAACAUAACAAUAUCAAUAUCCUUUUAGUGGAGUCUGCAAGGAUUUUCAGCACUGAUAACCCCUUUUGUGACCACAAAAUAAAUAAUUUAGCCCUUUAGCAUUCUGAUUGCCUUGUCAACUGUAUUGCUUAUUUAUUCACAUUGUUCUGAAUUGAUUAUAUAAUAUCUCGUAGAUUCAAGACUUUGAUGAUGUGAUUGUCUAUUUUCUUAAUGACAUUGUAGAAUUGGUGAGAGAAACUGGAAUUGGUCGCUUACUUUUAAUUAUUAUUUUCUUUUUUUUUUUUUUAAUAAUAAAAAGUUUAAGGGGUUUAAUAAAAUAACUAACUUUUCUAUUUGUUGAUAAACAUAUAUCAAGUUGGUGUUUGGUAUAGAAAUUAACUAAAAGGUUUUUACAGAAAAUUAUAAUGGAUUUUUCCUUUAUUUUUUUUAUUAUUUUUUUAUUUAUUCAUUUGUUCAAAUAUGAAUACAUUAAAUGAGAUGGGUGUUAGACAUAAUCAGUCACUUGGUUUAACAAUGAUUACUUGGCCCUUCAGUAACUUUAGCAGAGUUCACUCUCUUGCAAAUAUUUAAAUCACAUCCAUGAUUCAAGGAUACCUUCUGCCCUUUCUUCUUGACUAAGCAAUAACAAAAAAAAAAAAAAUGGAAGAAAAGAGAUGAUUUUGUAUGAAAGAACCAAGACAAAAUGAUAUCAAAAAGGAUUAACUAAUACAUUUAUAGAUUUGUUUUGCAAGAUUCCCGAUAUGAUAUCAUGUGUUGAAACAGAUAUUGUUAUGGUAUGAUACAAACAAUAUAUUUCGCUGCUUUGUAAGGGUAAUUUACCUAGUAUUUCUGCUGUUUUAAUGGUAAUUAUGUGUUCAAAAAAUAUCUUCUUGUUUGUAUCGUACAAUACAUUUUUUGAUGCUUCUAAUAAAAGAUAAAUGUUAUUUUGUUUAUAUUUAUACUCACAGAUACUGUUAUAUUUCUUUCUUUUUAAAAAAAAUAAAUAAACACAUGCACUAUAAA